rnacentral:rRNA from 1 species
UACGUAGGGCGCAAGCGUUUGUCCGGAAUUAUUGGGCGUAAAGAGCUCGUAGGCGGUCUGUUGCGUCCGCUGUGAAAACCCGGGGCUUAACCCCUGGCUUGCAGUGGAUACGGACAGACUAGAGGUAGGUAGGGGAGAAUGGAGUUCCCGGUGUAGCGGUGAAAUGCGCAGAUAUCGGGAGGAACACCGGUGGCGAAGGCGGUUCUCUGGGCCUUACCUGACGCUGAGGAGCGAAAGCGUGGGGAGCGAACAGG